CUUAAAUAUACACAGAGGACUUGCCUGGUGUUCCUUUCAAGUCCAUACAAGGUCUUCUGUUACCAUACUUGGUAAAAUGUCUUUCUUCUUGACAUGGAUCAAAGCUGUUUUUAUCAUUGCCUUGGCAUUUCCUCAUUAUUCUGAAACUUCUUUUGAACCUUUACCAGAAAUUCGUCAAGUGAAUGAUCCUUCAAAAGUAACAAACAAACAGUUUUAUUAUUACGCUAAGUUCAAGAAACAGAAUCUUG